rnacentral:rRNA from 1 species
AAUACGACUCUUAGCAAUGGAUAUCUCGGCUCUUGCAUCGAUGAAGAACGUAGCGAAAUGCAAUACAUGGUGCGAAUUGCAGAAUCCCGCGAACCAUCGAGUCUUCGAACGCAAGUUGCGCCCGAGGCCAUCUGGCCGAGGGCACGCCUGCCUGGGCGCCAACC